rnacentral:rRNA from 1 species
UACGGGGGGGGCAAGCGUUGUUCGGAAUUACUGGGCGUAAAGGGCUCGUAGGCGGCCAGCUAAGUCAGACGUGAAAUCCCUCGGCUUAACCGGGGAACUGCGUCCGAUACUGGCAGGCUUGAAUCCGGGAGAGGGAUGCGGAAUUCCAGGUGUAGCGGUGAAAUGCGUAGAUAUCUGGAGGAACACCGGUGGCGAAGGCGGCAUCCUGGACCGGCAUUGACGCUGAGGCGCGAAAGCCAGGGGAGCAAACGGG